GCUAUUCAGUGCUAUCGAGAGAAUGUAAAUCGCAAGCGAAGCCAAUGAGGUAGCGAAGGUGGAAAAAGCAGCGCCUUUGAUUCACAAUCACACCUUUUAUCAUCAAUAAAUGAAGCCCAUUUCUAGAGCUAUUUGCUGACAAAAAAAGGCUGUGCUCCUGCUGCUGAGAUGCGUUGGUUUCACAGCUGUGACACGUUAAAAGCCAAAGAUUCACGCAAUUUUGGAACCCUUUUAAGUUCCUUUGGGUAACAAAAAGCACUUGUAGCAUUUGUGCUCUUCAGCUCAUGAUUAUCCAUGUGGAAUACCAAGUACUACUAUUUUCGGUUUAAUCAUCGGAUUUCUGAAGCUAAUUGAUUGGAUUAAUUCGUACUUUUGUCCAAUAAUGUCAAGAAC
rnacentral:lncRNA from 1 species